CUCGCCUGGCUCCCUGCCCCGCCCCGCCCGCCGUCCCCCGCUUGGCUUCCAGCGCCGCUUGCGCUCCGGAGCGCUGGCUCUGCUGGCGCUGAGAAAUGGACCAAUUUUGACAAGAUAUAGUGCUGCAGCGUGCCUGAUGGGAUAUAUUCAGUCAUGGCGUCCGAACUUUGUAAGACGAUCUCUGUGGCAAGGCUAGAAAAGCACAAGAAUUUGUUCUUAAAUUAUAGGAAUCUGCACCAUUUUCCAUUGGAGUUACUGAAAGAUGAGGGACUGCAGUACUUGGAGAGACUCUAUAUGAAAAGGAACUCCCUGACAUCCUUGGUACAGUAUUAUAUUACACUACUGAAAAAUUAUUUAUACAUGUGGUCCUGAUCAAGAUACAUUUACAUACCCUAAGGUAUUCAGACCAAGACUUAUAUCCCCUGUUGUUAUAUAUACAGUUAAUAUAAAUACACACACAGGGGUUUCUCAUUGGCUAUGAAUUUGUUAUCCAAGUUCGUGCAGUUAUGAGGUUGCCGGAGAAGUUGUGUAGGAAAGCAAAAUACUCACUGA
rnacentral:lncRNA from 10 species